rnacentral:rRNA from 1 species
AUUGAACGCUGGCGGCAGGCCUAACACAUGCAAGUCGAGCGGAUGAAGGGAGCUUGCUCCUGGAUUCAGCGGCGGACGGGUGAGUAAUGCCUAGGAAUCUGCCUGGUAGUGGGGGAUAACGUCCGGAAACGGGCGCUAAUACCGCAUACGUCCUGAGGGAGAAAGUGGGGGAUCUUCGGACCUCACGCUAUCAGAUGAGCCUAGGUCGGAUUAGCUAGUUGGUGGGGUAAAGGCCUACCAAGGCGACGAUCCGUAACUGGUCUGAGAGGAUGAUCAGUCACACUGGAACUGGAACGCGGUCCAGACUCCUAAGGGAGGCAGCAGUGGGGAAUAUUGGACAAUGGGCGAAAGCCUGAUCCAGCCAUGCCGCGUGUGUGAAGAAGGUCUUCGGAUUGUAAAGCACUUUAAGUUGGGAGGAAGGGCAGUAAGUUAAUACCUUGCUGUUUUGACGUUACCAACAGAAUAAGCACCGGCUAACUUCGUG